CCUACGGGUGGCAGCAGUGAGGAAUAUUGGUCAAUGGACGAGAGUCUGAACCAGCCAAGUAGCGUGAAGGAUGACUGCCCUAUGGGUUGUAAACUUCUUUUAUAUGGGAAUAAAAUGUUCCACGUGUGGGAUUUUGUAUGUACCAUAUGAAUAAGGAUCGGCUAACUCCGUGCCAGCAGCCGCGGUAAUACGGAGGAUCCGAGCGUUAUCCGGAUUUAUUGGGUUUAAAGGGAGCGUAGGUGGAUUGUUAAGUCAGUUGUGAAAGUUUGCGGCUCAACCGUAAAAUUGCAGUUGAAACUGGCAGUCUUGAGUACAGUAGAGGUGGGCGGAAUUCGUGGUGUAGCGGUGAAAUGCUUAGAUAUCACGAAGAACUCCGAUGGCGAAGGCAGUUCACUGGACUGCAACUGACACUGAGGCUCGAAAGUGUGGGUAUCAAACAGGAUUAGAUACCCUAGUAGUC
rnacentral:rRNA from 1 species